rnacentral:rRNA from 1 species
CAAGUAGGCGGUUUAUUAAGUGAGGGGUGAAAUCUUCCGACUCAAUCGGGAAAUUGCCUUUCAAACUGGUAGACUUGAGGUUGGUAGAGGGAAACGGAAUUAGCAGUGUAAGGGUGAAAUCUGUAGAUAUUGCUAAGAACACCAGCGGCGAAGGCGGUUUCCUGGUCCAAACCUGACGCUGAAUUGCGAAAGCUAGGGGAGCAAACAGGAUUAGAUACCCUGGUAGUCC